GCCGGUAGCCUAGUGGUUAGAGCGUCGCCUCGGAUGCGAGAGGGUGCGGGUUCGAAGCCCGGUUGAAUCA